UAGGGAAUAUUGCACAAUGGGCGAAAGCCUGAUGCAGCAACGCCGCGUGCGCGAUGAAGGCCUUCGGGUUGUAAAGCGCUUUUCUGUAGGACGAGGAAGGACGGUACUACAGGAAUAAGGCUCGGCUAACUACGUGCCAGCAGCCGCGGUAAAACGUAGGAGCCAAGCGUUAUCCGAAUUCACUGGGCGUAAAGCGCGUGCAGGCGGCCUGAUAAGUUGGAUUUGAAAUCUCCUGGCUCAACUGGGAGGGGAGGUUCAAUACUGUCAGGCUAGAGGGCGACAGAGGGAGGUGGAAUUCCCGGUGUAGUGGUGAAAUGCGUAGAUAUCGGGAGGAACACCAGUGGCGAAGGCGGCCUCCUGGGUCGCACCUGACGCUCAGACGCGAAAGCUAGGGUAGCGAACGGG
rnacentral:rRNA from 1 species